GGUUAGUGUUUUAAGUGUAUUUUAAUGGUUAUUUUAAAUUGCAUUCAAGUUUAGUUCCAAGUUCAACAGGGGUUAUUAACCUCUUUCCUCCCAUACAAAUAGGAAAUAGUCCUGAAGGUCAAUGAGAGAACUCGUUCAGCGUCUCCCCUGAAUUCUGAUCCUUUGGGACAUCCUUUAUAAAACUCUUAAAUAAAAGUAUUUGCAAGAACCUUUCCACCUAUUGAGGUUUUCUCUCGUCCUGCCCUCAGAGACGGGUUUGUCCCUUACUGGGGGGACAGCAG
rnacentral:lncRNA from 1 species